CUUUAAAUCUUCUUUUCGUGCUCGCUGCGAGUGUCGUGUCUCGUUGUUAUCUUAACGGCUGCCACGGCUGCUAACGAGAAUACAGACUGUUCGUUAUCUCGGCGGUGAGAGCACGCGCAAGCACGACACUUGUGUUUUAUACGACCGAGCCAGAGACAGUGCGAAUCGAACGCAGGGAGGCAUCUGAAACGAGCGAAUUGUGAGGUUAGAAAAUUGGUAAUUAUUCGACUCGUGGAACGAAAUGAAGUUCGAUCGAGAGGAGAAGAGCCUUCUUGCUUAAUGUGCUUCUUUCUUAAAGAAAAAAAGAAUGUCCAAUAUGUUUUCGAAAAGAUAUUUAAAAUAAAAAUAAAACGUUGCUACGUAGAAUUUCUGUUAUAUAUCCGCGGUUGCAUGCGUACAAGUAUGCGACCGCCACUUAUCCUCUGUUAAUGUACAUAUGGCCAUAUAGCGGGCAACUAAGGCAUAUAACGGGGACAAUAAAUGAGUGAUGGUCACAGCCACGGACGUGUAUAUGUAAGAGAAAUUUUGGUAAUAUUUUUUUUUGCAAAUAUUUCAAAAAGUAACAUAUAUAUAAAAAAACUAAAUGGUAAUUGUUUCCAAUCAAGAAGAGCGAUUAUCAUUCACGAGAAUAGUUAAUUGUUA
rnacentral:lncRNA from 1 species